CGCCUCUAGAUUAUUACAUUAAAGGUCCAUCCUGCCCAAUGACAAAGUUAAAUGGCCGCGGUACCCUGACCGUGCUAAGGUAGCAUAAUCAUUUGCCUCUUAAUUGGUGGCUAGUAUGAAUGGACACACGCAAGUACCCCUGUCUCAUUAGUAUAUAUAAAAAUUACCACUCAGGUGAAGAGGCCUGAAUAAAAUAAAAAGACAAAAAGACCCUAUGGAGCUUUAUUUAACACCCUAAUAUCACCAGCUUACACCACCCUACCUUAGGAAAAUAAAUUUAGUUGGGGCGACUAAGGAAAACCAUAAAUCUUCCUAAAAAAAAAGAAAAUAAUUCCUCAUUGAUCCGUUACACGAAUAAAGACACAGCUACCCUAGGGAUAACAGGCUAAUUCUUCUCGAGAGCCCAAAUUGACAGAAGAGAUUGGCACCUCGAUGUUGGCUUAGGGUUCCUACAGGGUGCAGAAGCCCUGUAAG
rnacentral:rRNA from 1 species